AAUGGCGUGCGACCCGCAUGCGGACGCGCCCGGUCGCGUGCGGCUCUUCGCUCUAUACCCUUGCCUAUUUGUAUCCUCUUGUUGUUUCCUCGGCGGGUCCUGACUCGCCGGCGGGAAUUUUAUAAACCUCUUGCAGUAGUAUCCAAUCAUUCUGAUCAAAAGUCUUAAAUCGUUA
rnacentral:misc_RNA from 1 species